UCCCCGCGGGACUCUAACUUUAUUUUUAACACCGAAACAUUCACGACGAGGCAACCGAAUGCUGGUGAAAAAUACACAAUGAAAGAGCGAGGUAUCCGCGUACCGAGAACUGUUCGUUUUAAGUAACACCGACUCAAGGUGAUCCCAGUUUUACGAAAAACGAUAUAAAAAUUUUGUGAUUUUAACGCACCUUCUUACGGUACAGAUUUGCACGGUGCAUUUUUUCAAUUUAAGUCGAAUUGCAAUUUAGGAAGUUACUGAAAGUUUGAUAUGUUAUAAAACCCGAUAUUAAAAAAAAAAAAAAAAAUAACUCAUAAAUAAUAAUUCACAAAAAUCUGAAACAGAACGCGGCAACAGUCAGCAUUGUUGCAGCAAUCAUUUUGCGAGUAUUACGAAUGCAUGUGUUGAUAUACUUAUUGAUUUAUUAUGGACGUAUGCGAGACCAGUAAGACUGUACUUUUACUAAAGUUCCUAAUUAUACAGGGUGGGUGAAUACCUGUUGGCACGUCAGAUAUCUUCGAAACUACAAGUUUCACAGAAAUAUUUGGUGAAAUAAAAUUGCACAGUACGAAGGGGAUCAUCCUGGUGGCGAUAGUAGUUUUUUAGCAGGUGGAGGAGCUCUUUCCCUUGUACGGGGGCCAACCGUGCCCCAGCGGCGCCAGAAUGCCGUCGUUUCCAUUGGACGCAAAAGUAACCGUCUGGCUUCCUAUCGCACGCGACAUAUAUUAUUUAUUUGUUAGCCAUUAUUCUUGGACGUUUCUCAAGUAACACGGUCCUCUUCUGUUACAAUAGAAGACCUUAAAAUAAAUGUAGGCAAAGAUAAAGUCAAGAAUGCAAAACAACAGGAAGAACGUUCGAAGAAUAAAUGAAUAUCGCGAGCAUAGUCAGCCGGAAAACGUUAAGACCAAGCUCUACGUGCAACGGAGUUUAACGACACAAUAGUCUGUGCAACGAGACUCAACGACACAACACAAUAAGCAACGAUAGGCGACACAAGGCUGGAAUAACGAGGAAAAGACAAAACAUUUGAUCGAAAAGCGCGACUCAAAUGCUCUAUCGGAACAAUGUGGUUCGAGGAACGGAGAUGGUCAGCGUUGAACAGUAGAAACGGUAGAAACGCUUGUGGAAGAAUUGGGAGAACCGUAUCGCCAGCAUCGCGAUCAAGCGGCGAGACCAAAUCAGCGAUGAGUCUCGGCUAAAUGGAAAGCUUCAUAUUGUUUUGAAAGAGGUAAAGGUUCGUAAUGGCUGUAAGGUUUGCUAUGGCCGUAAUAAACCUGGCGUCAGGCGAGAAAGCUCAUACUAUUAUGAUACAUGCCCUAACAAACUGAGAAUCCAUCUCGGGGGAUUGUUUUGUAAAAUAUCAUACAAAAACCAAAUACAAAGUGAAAUAUUUAACAGA